rfam:Lasius niger Lnig_2.1_11874, whole genome shotgun sequence.
GUCCAGCGGCCCUGGAUGGGUUUGAAUUCAGUCCACGUUUCAUGAUAGAUAUGCGUGACUAGAUCCACACUCAUCCAAGGAUACUGGAC